AUGCCGAGCCGGCUUGGCCGCGUUCCUCUCAUCGCCUGUCCGGUCAAGCCCGACCGGCUGGACCCUCCUCGAGCGCCUAGAGGGUCUAGGAUUACACCCAGCGGGUUUGCCGACGCGCUCCGCGAGCGCCAAGCCGCACUGACUGUCUUCGACAACCUCUGCCGCGACUACACGAAAAUCAAUGUGAGCUCCUCACCCGCAUAUUUUUUGCAUCACGCAAGCAUGGAUAACCUCAAGCGAUGCUCGGGGGGCCAUCUCCGCAUUUUAUUACAGUUGGAUCACUGUUCGCCCCGGCGCCAGCCAGAGUUGGCCCGGGGGCUGGCCGCUUGGCCUGAGACGUUAGUUCCCGCAGACGGCUUAGUAGCGUGCGCGGUACCAAAAGCCUACCUCUCAGCCACAGAACGCAGAGCGGCUGUCCGGCUAGCGAGAGCAAAAGCUAGAGGUCACCCCACACGAAAAAUGUCCGGGAAGAGAAACGCUUCGGGCGACCCGACCAUUUACUUUAUGAGUAUCUGCUCGUUUAAAUCUGCUCCCAGACUCUGA
rnacentral:rRNA from 1 species